GGCCCCGCACAAGCAGCGGAGCGUGUGGUUUAAUUCGAUGCUACACGAAGAACCUUACCAGGGUUUGACAUGCAAGUGGUAGGGAUCCGAAAGGUGACCGACCCCUCGGGGAGCUUGCACAGGUGCUGCAUGGCUGUCGUCAGCUCGUGUCGUGAGAUGUUCGGUUAAGUCCGCUAACGAGCGCAACCCUCGCUGCGUGUUACAUGUGUCACGCGGAACUGCCGGUCUUAAGCCGGAGGAAGGUGGGGAUGACGUCAAGUCAGCAUGGCCUUUAUAUCCUGGGCUACACACACGCUACAAUGGCCAACACAAUAGGUAGCUAAGCCGCGAGGCGGAGCCAAUCCUCAAAGUUGGUCUCAGUUCAGAUUGUAGGCUGCAACCCGCCUGCAUGAAGAUGGAGUUGCUAGUAAACGCAGGUCAGCUAUACUGCGUUGAAUACGUUCCCGGGGCUU
rnacentral:rRNA from 1 species